rnacentral:rRNA from 1 species
GACGAACGCUGGCGGCGUGCUUAACACAUGCAAGUCGAACGGAAAGGCCCUGCUUUUGUGGGGUGCUCGAGUGGCGAACGGGUGAGUAACACGUGAGUAACCUGCCCUUGACUUUGGGAUAACUUCAGGAAACUGGGGCUAAUACCGGAUAGGAGCUCCUGCUGCAUGGUGGGGGUUGGAACGUUUCGGCGGUUGGGGAUGGACUCGCGGCUUAUCAGCUUGUUGGUGGGGUAGUGGCUUACCAAGGCUUUGACGGGUAGCCGGCCUGAGAGGGUGACCGGCCACAUUGGGACUGAGAUACGGCCCAGACUCCUACGGGAGGCAGCAGUGGGGAAUAUUGCACAAUGGGCGGAAGUCUGAUGCAGCAACGCCGCGUGCGGGAUGACGGCCUUCGGGUUGUAAACCGCUUUCGCCUGUGACGAAGCGUGAGUGACGGUAAUGGGUAAAGAAGCACCGGCUAACUACGUG